ACGUAAUCUGGUUACUUCCACAGAGGUCAGUCUUUCUUGUGUGAGCACUGGAACUGGCCUUGCACAGUGCUCUGAGCUGUGUUGGCAGCUGCUGGUGAGGCAGCAAAGCGCCAGGUCCCUGGGCAAAGUUAGCACUCCAGCACAACCUUGACUCGGUGGUGCAGCCGUUGUAGCUCUGUACAAGAUGGGCUUCAGAGGAAAUGACCGUGGGAUUGUCGCAGCAGCUACAAAAGCUGCAGAAGAGUUCAAGAGUGUGCCAUUUUCAAUGCCAUUCAGGAUGCCUUGGAGGCUGAUGGACCUGCACUUAUAAACAAGGUGAAAGGGUUUAUUGCUUCCAAGUUAAGGGUGGUCCUGGUGGUAGUGAAGCCAAAUGGAUUUUGUUGAUGCCAAAAAUGACCAGGAUCAGUCACCUUGAAUGGCACAGCAAAACCAGACGUCACCAUCACCAUGACGGACGAAGACCUCGUUAACCUGAUGGAGGGCAAGUUAAACAAAAAGGCUUUUUUUCCAAGGUAAACUUAAGAUCAAGGCAACAUGGGCCUGGCUAUGAAAUUACAGGAGUUCAAAAGCAGGCACAGCAGCUAAAGGCAAAUUGUAGAAGUUCAUUUUCCUAAUCCUAUCUGUGUAAACACUCCAUGCACAGCUGUCUUAAACUAUUCUCAUAUUCCUUUCUUACCACUUACAACAUGCUUGUUCUGGACAUCAUUACCUCUCUUGGUGCAUCUUGUGAAUAUCAUGCAAGUUUUUAACAAGUCCAGUUAAUUCAUACUUUCCAAGCCACUCAUCCCAUUAUACAGGAACUGUCUGUCUUAUUUUCACCUGAAUUAAAUAAAAAAAUUUGGGUGUCUAGUUGACUGAUCAGUACAGUACAGUAGUGGAAAGUAUGACAUUAAUUAUCCUCACAAGUGGUCAGCCAGUUGAGAAGUGUAACACUAUUUGUAAUAAAAUUUGGGAUAAGUCUACCA
rnacentral:lncRNA from 1 species